GACGAACGCUGGCGGCGUGCUUAACACAUGCAAGUCGAACGGAAAGGCCCUGCUUUUGUGAGGUGCUCGAGUGGCGAACGGGUGAGUAACACGUGAGUAACCUGCCCUUGACUUUGGGAUAACUUCAGGAGACUGGGGCUAAUACCGGAUAGGAGCUCCUGCUGCAUGGUGGGGGUUGGAAAGUUUCGGCGGUUGGGGAUGGACUCGCGGCUUAUCAGCUUGUUGGUGGGGUAGUGGCUUACCAAGGCUUUGACGGGUAGCCGGCCUGAGAGGGUGACCGGCCACAUUGGGACUGAGAUACGGCCCAGACUCCUACGGGAGGCAGCAGUGGGGAAUAUUGCACAAUGGGCGGAAGCCUGAUGCAGCAACGCCGCGUGCGGGAUGACGGCCUUCGGGUUGUAAACCGCUUUCGCCUGUGACGAAGCGUGAGUGACGGUAAUGGGUAAAGAAGCACCGGCUAACUACGUG
rnacentral:rRNA from 1 species